rfam:HIV-1 isolate 1182.48-6075-20030717 pol protein (pol) gene, partial cds.
GUAGGUUCUGUAUUAGUAGGACCUACCCCUGCCAACAUAAUUGGAAGAAAUGUGAUGACCCAGCUUGGCUUUACUUUAAAUUUUCCCAUUAGUCCUAUUGAAACAGURCCAGU